rnacentral:rRNA from 1 species
CGCCUGUUUUAUCAAAAACAUAGCCUUUAGCUUUACAAGUAUUAAAGGUCUUGCCUGCCCAGUGACUUCUUCAACGGCCGCGGUAUCCUAACCGUGCAAAGGUAGCAUAAUCACUUGUCUCCUAAAUAGAGACUAGUAUGAACGGCUAAAUGAAGACUAAACUGUCUCUUGUAGUUAACCAAUGAAACUGAUCUCUCAGUCCAAAAGCUGAAAUAUACUCAUAAGACGAGAAGACCCUGUGGAGCUUCAAACCAGACUCACAAUAAUGAAUAUCUUGGUUUUUAGUUGGGGCGACUUCGGAGCAUAAAAAAACCUCCAACGUGCAUUUACCAAAAACAACACAUUAAAGUAAUAUAGCUUGACCCAGUAGAUUCCACCAUCUAUCUGAUCAAUGAAACAAGUUACCCCAGGGAUAACAGCGCUAUCCUCUUCUAGAGUCCAUAUCAACAAGAGGGUUUACGACCUCGAUGUUGGAUCAGGGCACCCCAAUAGUGCAACCGCUAUUAAAGGUUCGUUUGUUCAACGAUUAAAGCCCUACGUGAUCUGAGUUCAGACCGGA